GACGAACGCUGGCGGCGUGCUUAACACAUGCAAGUCGAACGGAAAGGCCCUGCUUUUGUGGGGUGCUCGAGUGGCGAACGGGUGAGUAACACGUGAGUAACCUGCCCUUGACUUUGGGAUAACUUCAGGAAACUGGGGCUAAUACCGGAUAGGAGCUCCUGCUGCAUGGUGGGGGUUGGAAAGUUUCGGCGGUUGGGGAUGGGCUCGCGGCUUAUCAGCUUGUUGGUGGGGUAGUGGCUUACCAAGGCUUUGACGGGUAGCCGGCCUGAGAGGGUGACCGGCCACAUUGGGACUGAGAUACGGCCCAGACUCCUACGGGAGGCAGCAGUGGGGAAUAUUGCACAAUGGGCGGAAGCCUGAUGCAGCAACGCCGCGUGCGGGAUGACGGCCUUCGGGUUGUAAACCGCUUUCGCCUAUGACGAAGCGUGAGUGACGGUAAUGGGUAAAGAAGCACCGGCUAACUACGU
rnacentral:rRNA from 1 species